AAACUUUACCCUUGCAAAAGGUUAAUGAAGUAAUUAACAAAUUGAAUAUUUGGACUUGCCAUGUGUUGUCUACUCAUUCGUCAACUUUUACCUUUUGUCUUUCUGCUCCCGUUUUCCCUCUAUCUCUCUUCAUAUGGUAUUCUCUCUUUUCUGUUUUCUCCACAAACCCUAGCGCAGCCACAAACCUAGCGAUGUCUUCGACCACUCCAAUCUCACAAUCUCACGGUCUUUGUCAUUUGGUUUCGAUCAAUUUGACGGCGACCACCGUUUCUCCAUCUUCGGCCGAUUCGGUAAGAACGAGCAUAGUUUCCCCAUCUUUCUUCUUCGUUUUUUCACUCCAUUUUUUCACUCCUUCGUAUUCUUAGAUCUAUGAUGUUAUGAUUUAAUUUGAGUUUGCUUCUUCUCAUUUUUGGUGUUAUUUACAGAGGUUUUGUCAAAAUAUUUGAUUUUCCUUUUCUCUGCUUCACAAACUGGAUUCAUCUCUUAACUGUGUUUUGUGUUUUAUCUCUAAUGUUUCAGUUAAAGAUUUCACAGCAACACUCAAAUCUGUGUGUUUUCUACAAGACUGCAUAGAUUUGACAUAUAUUGUUUCAUUGUCCGUGGUUUCAAGAUCCAUAGGUGAUGCAUAUUUGAAGAAAGUGGAAUUCAAUAGGGAGCCUCUGCCACAAAAGUUUAGACUACCUGAAAUCUUUUCAAGUUGAUUCUUAGUAGUGAAUCAUCAGUUAUCAAUUCAUAAAAUCCAACCCGAAGAUAAAUUUCGCAUCUUUGUUUCUGAUGGUUCAUGACUGCUUAUGGUUGAUGUUUCGAAUACCUCAACCGUGUUUUCUUAUUCAUGAGUUCUUUUCUCAGUACUAUUGAUUUAUGUAACAGGAAAUAUCACGGAGAUAUUAGUUACAAGCUUGAUUGUGAAGAGACACUUCCAGUGAAGAUAUUAGUUAUAAGCUAACCCGAAAUUCUAUACCGAAACGGGUCAAUUGUGUUGCAAGAAUAGCUAUAUAUAUAACAUGUUUACAAAUCAAUAUACAUUCUAAUAAGUUCGGUUGUUGAAAAAUAAGUGAUUAUUUUUAGGGUGAAUCUGAUGAUCUGUUAAUAUUCUGGACAGCUAUUAUACCGUUCUCUUUGGUGUAGCAAGGAGUAUUGGAGUUGGCCCUCAGUUGAUAUGGGACCGGGCUCUUGGAAUGCCACUUGAAAGGCCAAAAAAUGUCACAUUGGAAAAACUCGAGAAAUUGGCCGGUGCAUCAUCAUGAAAUCAAAAGCACCAUUUAUUUUUUGAUUGCUAAAAUACAUUUUGCGGUGAAUGUAAGAUGUUGUUUACUUGAAAAUUUUAGUAUGAUAUCAACGAGGUCCAUUCGUUGCCAACAGUCCCAUUCCACUAAUUUUUUUUGCUGUUUGUCUGCAUUUUCAGAUUUAGAAUAUUUGGGUAUAUGUUUAUCUAUUCAAAAUUAUAUAUGUUUUACAUUUUUUGUUACAACCAAUUAAUGUUGAAAUUGUAGGUCUGCUGCUAAUCAUUUGUUGCAGUUAGAGAAGUAGUGAAUGUGGCUGUUAGUUCAGAAACUGGGUGGUGUAGGACUGUUUUUGAAUUUCAGUUUUUUAACAUGACACUGGUUCUGGUGUGGGUAAAAGUUUAUUUAGUAGUGUAACAAAUAUUGUCCCACUAUAUUGUGAUAUUAUGCAUCAGAUAUCUGGUUUUUACACUACUAAAUCAAAACAAUAGCUGUUUUUCAUAAAUAGCUUAACAGAUAUUGUGUGAUAUUGUUAACUAUAUGUUAACACUACUAAAUCAGAACCAUAUCAAUAUUGUUAACUAUACUGUUACAAAUUUUUUCCCAAUAUA